rnacentral:rRNA from 1 species
GAAAGUAAAAAAGGGCGCAUGGCGGAUGCCUUGGCUCUCGGAGGCGAUGAAGGACGUGAUAAGCUGCGAUAAGCUUUGGGGAGGUGCAAAUGACCUUUGAUCCAGAGAUUUCCGAAUGGGACAACCCAAUAUCUUGAAGAGGUAUUAUCCAACGUUGUUGGAGGCUAACGCAGGGAACUGAAACAUCUUAGUACCUGCAGGAAAAGAAAAUAAACAAUGAUUCCCCCAGUAGUGGCGAGCGAACGGGGAACAGCCCAAACCAUCCAUGUUACGGCAUGGGUGGGGUUGUAGGACUACGCCGUUGCAUGAAGACAUCAGAGAAGAACUUUCUGGAAAGAAAGACCAUAGAGCAUGACAGUUGCGUAUUCGAAUGUUGUCGAAGCAUAGUAGUAUCCUGAGUAGCGCGGAGCACGAGGAAUUCUGCGUGAAUCUGCCGGGACCAUCCGGUAAGGCUAAAUACUCCCGAGAGACCGAUAGCGAACCAGUACCGUGAGGGAAAGGUGAAAAGCACUUCGAACAGAAGAGUGAAAUAGUUCCUGAAACCGUGCGCCUACAAGCGGUCGGAGCUCGUUGAUGAGUGACGGCGUGCCUUUUGCAUAAUGAACCUACGAGUUGCCUUUGCCGGCAAGGUUAAGUGUGACGACACACGUAUCCGAAGCGAAAGCGAGUCUGAAGAGGGCGUAUAGUCGGCAGUGGCAGACGCGAAACCAAGUGAUCUACCCUUGGCCAGGUUGAAGGCUGGGUAACACCAGCUGGAGGACCGCACCAAUAAGCGUUGAAAAGCUUCUGGAUGAGCUGAGGGUAGGGGUGAAAGGCUAAUCAAACUUGGAGAUAGCUCGUACUCCCCGAAAUGCAUUUAGGUGCAGCCUUGCGGGUUACUGAUGUGAGGUAGAGCGACUGAUAAGAUGCGAGGGCUUCACCGCCUAUCAAGUCUUGACAAACUCCGAAUGCGCAUCAGUUCUACCGCAGGAGUGAGGGCAUGGGUGCUAAGGUCCGUGCCCGAGAGGAGAAGAAUCCGGACCACCUGCUAAGGUCCCGAAAUGACAGCUAAGUUAAACUAACGAAGUCUGACUGCUAAGACAGCUAGGAUGUUGGCUUGGAAGCAGCCAUUCAUUUAAAGAGUGCGUAACAGCUCACUAGUCGAGGAGUCGGGCGUGGAUAAUAAUCGGGUAUGAAGUUGUCUACCGAAGCAGUGGGAUCAUUUAUAUGAUCGGUAGGGGAGCAUUCCAGUCGGCGUCGAAGGCGUACCGUGAGGUAUUCUGGAGCGUCUGGAAAAGCAAAUGUAGGUAUAAGUAACGAUAAAGGGGGCGGGAAACCCCCUCGCCGAAAGACUAAGGUUUCCUGAUCAACGCUAAUCGGAUCAGGGUCAGUCGGGUCCUAAGGCUCAGCCGAACGGCGAUGCCGAUGGCAGAAACGGUUAAUAUUCCGUUACUACCUUCAGGAGUGACGUGGAGACGCAGUAGUGACAGUGCCGCCAUCUGACGGAAUAGAUGGUUGAAGGGUGUAGGAGUCGAUCAUGGCAGGCAAAUCCACCAUGAGAUCCGAACCUGAUAGUAUGCCGCGUCCUUCGGGACAAGGCAAUAGUGCGCGUAAGCAUGCUGCCGAGAAAAUCCGCUAAACUUAAUCCUGCAGGUACCCGUACCGCAAACGGACACACGUAGUCGGGAUGAAUAUUCUAAGGCGCUUGAGUGAUUCACGGUUAAGGAACUAGGCAAACUGACCCUGUAACUUCGGGAUAAAGGGUCCCUACCCUUUUAUGGGAGGGCGCAGAGAAUCGGUCCAGGCAACUGUUUAACAAAAACACAGGGCUGUGCCAAAUCGAAAGAUCCAGUAUACAGCCUGACACCUGCCCGGUGCUGGAAGGUUAAGAGGAGAUGUCAUCGAUAAGAGAAGCGUUGAAUUGAAGCCCCAGUAAACGGCGGCCGUAACUAUAACGGUCCUAAGGUAGCGAAAUUCCUUGUCGGGUAAGUUCCGACCUGCACGAAUGGUGUAAUGAUCUGGACGCUGUCUCAACCGUGAGCUCAGUGAAAUUGUAGUAUCGGUGAAGAUGCCGAUUACCCGCGAUGGGACGAAAAGACCCCGUGAACCUUUACUAUAGCUUA